AGUGCAUCCAUGGGUAGAUUCAUAACUAAUUAUUUCUCUAAAUAACUUCUAACAAUUAGGUUUUGCCCCAAACAUUCCUUCAGCAGGCAUGUGGCACCUUCACUGAAAAUCUUGGUUAGGUCCAACCAUUAACAUGACAACACUAAGUGCAUCCAACAAAUGAAUGUCCGACUCGAGUAUGGCUUGACCAACCUGAGCAUUGAUCUGAAGAUACAACAAGAUGAUCAUAUGAUGAAUGAUAAUUCUAAUGUCUAAUAGACACCAAGCGUGUGGCACCUCCAAUGCC
rnacentral:lncRNA from 1 species